GCUUUCAUAAAAUGAACGACAGCUAAAUAACUCAAAAUUAUGUAAAGUAGCUAAACAGAAAUGAAACAAAAGAUGAAAGGUUGCACAUGAGGAUGACACAUAUGUUCAGCAUCUUAAACUUGGUCAUAUAGGAAUACACAGGAUAAACUGAUCUACAAAAGAUGGACCAUUGAAAGAGCUAAGAGUUGGAACUCUUCCGGUUUGUGAGUCUUUUCUAGAAGGCAAAAUAUGAUCAAACGUUUUUUCUCACUGAAAGGCAAUAGAGCUAGACCCAUUUAUAAAAGGAAAAGAAACAUAUGGAUUGAAGCCCAUUUUUAUGCUAACUCUACUUAUUCUUGUACUUCCCACUUCUUCUCCCUAUCUCCCAGCUGCUUUCCCUCCCUAUCAAUCUCCCUCUAUCACACUAGAUCUCUUUGUUUGUCUCACACUUUAUCUCUCUUGAUCACUCUGUUUCUCUCAUAGUUGAUCUCUUUGUCUCUUUCUUUGUACUAGGUGAUGACAACGACAAAUGAAGCUCGACGACGAUGAUAUGGGGGCUCAGCUCUCUCAAUCCACCGCUCCCCAUCUCUUACUAGGUCUCUCUCUUUCUCUCGUUCACUCUUCACUCUUAUGUGCUAUUUUUGUUUUGCAGAUCGUGCUCAUGGUAGUUGUGGUUUGGAUUGGUGGUGGUUCGGGGUGGUGGUGGCAGCAGGCAUUGGCUUAGGGAUGGGGACGACGGAGGAGAGACAGAAGGGGAACAAAGUGAGUUCUUGAUCUGUGAAUAUAGCUAUUACAACAGGGUAUGUCAGAAUCAGCAGUUGCAGUUGGAGCCGCUACUUUAAUUGGAGCACUACUAUCGUUGACGUCUAGGACACUUGGGGUGAAAAAUAACAAACUUGGGAUGUUUUACAAACAAUUGUUAAGCUCGGAAUUACAAGGUAAAAAACAUGAAAAAAUGAAGAAAAAUGUACGCGUGCUGAAAAUAGUCACUAGCCAUGGCCACCAAGAAUUACUAGCCGCGUCCUGAGAGUCAAAAAUUAGUGGCCGCGGCCACCAUAAACUUCUGGGCACGGCCAGAGCACGUAUUUUCCCCAAAACAGUCACGUGACCGCGACCACCAAGAAUAAUUGGUAGCGGCUUGCGAUAUAAUUUGUUCUUAAAUUAUGAUUUUUGGAUGUAAUUUUUAAUGAGGUUAGGGUUAACUUUUAAUAUAGCUUUGGAUUGUGAAUUUUAUAGGCUACAGCAGUAGAGGAAGAGAAAAGACAUUAGCAUCUACAUUCUUCAAUCUAGUUUUUUCUUUCUUCUCAAAACUCAUUUAUUUUCAUUGAAUAUUUAUUUUUGUGAAUAUGAAUAUGAUUAUAGAGUACUUUUCUUUGUAGUUGAGGGUUAUUUCAAAACCCUAAA